rnacentral:lncRNA from 1 species
CUAAUUAUAAAGAUGCCAUAGGGAAAUCAUUUCCAUUUCAAUCUGGAACUACCUAAUGAAUGCAGCCACAAAAGGCAUAGCAACAUAUAGUCCUAAUUAGCUACCAUUCGCAUAAAACAGUUGUGGAGGGAGAGAGAAAAAGAUUCCAUGCCUGUUAUGUUGCUGCUCAUACCAGUUUUCUAGCCACAAUCGUUGCUUGCUGCUGACUGCACAUCCCUCCAUCAGUCCAUUGUAUUUCCCAUAAUCACUAUGUAUAUUCCCUGACACCAACGAACAAAUAGAAAAUAAGCAUGUUGAAAUAAGGGAGAAAAAACGGAAGAGAAGCUAGGCAAUAGCUCUCACACAGAUGUAAAGACCAACACAGGUAGCCUGAGUGGUAUUUCUUUUCUUCUUUUGCAAAUGUUUACAUAUGUCAUUAACAUGGCAGCAUACCACAGCUGAAUAAACCUAUGGUGUUUUUAUCUUGUACGUAGAUAGUGCCAAGGAUUAUUCUCCAACAACAAAAGCACUUGAUGUGUAGAGGAAUGUCUACUCUAGAUUCAUAUAAUUCUAUUAAAUUGGAGGGCUUGAAGGGAACAUGCUUCUGAAUGAUCCUGUGCUAAAUGUGGAAAAUGAAAGAAACUAUUUUCGUUUAGAAAUGAUGGCAGUUACUAACUUACGCAUUGUCCAUACAAAACUUCUGCACCAAAAAGAAAAUAAAAUAAUUAACAUUUUGACACACCAAAUGAGUAGAACCAUAGACAUUUUACAG